CUGGGUUAGUCGGGACCUAAGGAGAGACCGAAAGGUGUAUCCGAUGGACAACAGGUUGAUAUUCCUGUACUAGAGUAUGUAGUGAAGGAGGGACGCAGUAGGCUAACUAAAGCGUGCGACUGGAAGUGCACGUCUAAGCAGUGAGGUGUGAAUUGAGUUAAAUGCUUAAUUCUAUAACAUUGAGCUGUGAUGGGGAGCGAAGUUUAGUAGCGAAGUUAGUGACGUCACACUGCCAAGAAAAGCUUCUAGCGUUAAACAUACUCUACCCGUACCGCAAACCGACACAGGUAGUCGA
rnacentral:rRNA from 1 species